GCUUUUGCAAGGGUGUAGCUUGGCAGCAGAGGAGGCUGCAGGCUAGUCUUGUCCUUGUAGGAAGGACAGAAGGAUUCUGAAAGAGCCCUUCUCAAGGAACUUUCUGCAGGAGUGUGUGGAUGGCGGGGGGAGAGGCACAAAGAAAUGACCAAGCGAGGAGUGAGCCCUCUGGGAGAGCAAAGCUUGCCAGCUGGGAGACAGGAGAAAGCAGCCAGGAACCUCCGAGGGGAGUGGAGAUGGACAAGGAGCCUGGCUGGGGCGGCACUAAGUCUGCUGCAAGCCAGCCAGCCCCUGAGCUGGUGAACUGGAACCAGCCUGGGAGAAAGGACAUGACCGUGGAGACAGGAAGAGGUUUGCCCUCCAGAGAAGUAAAUUGACUCAAAACAGAUCAACUGAAAACAGAUGCAUUGAAAUGUUGCUGCUGCUUGCCUCGCUGAAGGAAGUCUCUCAGAGGAAAGGCGUGGGUUGUAUCAACUGGAAGGAGAAUAUCAAACUCCAUCUGCCCCAGCUGUGAUAACCGUCUUGCAGCCAAUUGUGGCACAGAACAAGAGUUAGGGACUGAGACCCUAAGGAACAUAUUUGAAAUGCUGCCAAUUUAGCCAGUUUCCUCCUACUCCUGAAUUAAGCUGCAAACUUGUCAAUGAAAAAGCUGGAUAGUAUGGAAGCCCAGUAAAAUGUGAGCUGGAAAAGUAGUGUUACCAUGGCUUAUCAGAAAUCGAAGAGUACGUCCCAUUGAUCUAUCAUAAAGGUCAUUUAAGAGUACUUCCUUUCUUUCAGAUGGGAAAAGGAGGCUUAAAAAAAGUCAAACUCAGGCACCCAAGGCCUAUUGCAGCCACGUUGCCCUUGCCUCAGGGAUGAGCUGUCUGUGGACAGCUGGCCCCUAGCUUUACAUCUUAAAAACAGUGGAAACUACGCCUACAAUUUUACUUUACUUUAGUCCUGCGGCUUCAUUUAAAUGUAUAUGAGAUCUAAAUACAAUCUUCCACUGUGAGCUUUGUAGCAUGGAUGCUCUGUAUGGCUUCUUUAUGUCAUGUUAGUACAAAGUGACAGUAAUCCAUGACUGAAUACUCUUGAUGUAAGUAUACCCUAGAGUUUAAGUUUUUGUUUGUUUGUUUUUUGAACAAUAGUGGGAAGGCUAAGCCAACUCCAUUAAUUUUAAAUAAUCAUUGUAUUCUGGAGGAAGGAGAAAACAACUGACCUCCAGGGCAAAUGCUUUUACAUUUUUACUAAACGAAGGCAUACAUAUAUAUGCAGAAGACUACCAGAGAUCUAUACACCGUGUUAUAAUCUAAAGUUUUCAUCUGAAGGAGGAGAGAUCCUUUAAAGGCUAAUAUCACUUAAUAAAGUGAUACUCUCACUUUCCUCAAAUCUAAGUGAAUUAUUAGAAAUGAUGGUUUAUAUGGCUUUAUUAUGAUAUGCGUGAAAAGCAUUUAGAAUACUCAUGAUGUUCUGAAGACUGAGAAUGCAUUUUGAGGAAAUAUCUUCACUUCCCCUCUUUCCUCCUGGCCUCUGGCUGAAACUGAACUUUCUAUGCUGUUUUCACUACAAAUGAUGCUAUAAGACCGUCCAUACCGAAAAAAACCUCAACAAAACAAAAUAAAAGAAAAAAAGCCAACAACAACAAAAAAGCCACCCUUGUCCUUGACUUCAGCUGUAUUGCUACUUUGAAGAUAGAACACUUCCAUUUAAUUGAAACAAUACUUACAUAUAUAGUUUACUUUUUUUUAAACAAUGAUGUUCUUUUUUCAUGACUGUGUGAAAAUUCUCAAUGAAUUUUCCUUUACUUUUUAGUGAAAAACUAGCUCUCCAGUUAAAUAUUCCAUAUUUGUUUUAGAGAGUUUCUGCUGCCCAUGAAAACAUACCAAGAUCAUGCUGGAGAUGUUAAUGCAGUGGAAUUCUUGUCUUGUGCUUGACAUGUAGCUUUUCUGACCCAUGCCAAUUUUUCUAUGAGUCAUGCUUCCCAACCUGACUUAACGAUUCAUGACACCUGCUGGCCUCGAGACCACCACAGUCUUUUCUCUGAGGAAGACUUCUGCAAAGGUUCAUAAAGUUGCCAUUAGGAAAAAUGUUCUGCUCUGAACUACAAGUGCUAUGUACAAUAUCAAAGACUUCCAAAUUGAAAAAUAUUGCUUUGGAGUUCUCCAACUCAAACUGUAGAUUUUCACUGAGGAGAAACAGGGAAUGAGAGAGGGAACAUCAUGGAAAAUCAGCUUGGAUAGUAGUAUCACAUUUGAUUUCUAAGCCAAGACAGUCUGGGGAAAGUUAAUGGAAGUCUCUUAAUACUGGUUCAUCACCCCCAGGAAAGUCUGGUAGUUUCCUAUUAGUUGUAUUCUGCAACCAUCAGUGGUAAUGUUAACUCCCCAUCUUUGGGAAAACAUGCUUUUCCCUGUUGUGCUAUUUAGCCCAGCUGAGAGGUGAAAUAUUUAUCUGUCCUCUCUCGGUUUAAACUGGGUGAAAUAUGAACAGAUAGAUAAAUGGAAAUGAGGAUACAACUAACAAAGCUCUUGAUUCAUAAACCAAGUCUUUGUGAGAUGGAUUAAAGAGAAAUACUAUGCACAGAAAAAACAGAACUACCUUUUAGAUAUAUUUUUCAGAGCAGAACUCACUAGUGAACAAAGAACCUCCUGUGCUUCUGUGACUAUCAGUUAAUCAUUACAUGAAAGUCGUUGUAGAUUUCUUUAAAAUGUGUAUAUAGAUGUGUGUGAUUUGAGCACUCAUGUAUGACUUCUGCAUUUCUCAUAUCCUAUAAAUGCAUAGGAGGAGGCAGGAACUCUGCCUUGUGGUCCCUGCAUUUUCUAUGUCUAGGAUUUCCACAGAGCUCUUUUCAGCUCUAUGGAACUGUUAUUCCAUGGACAAAUAGAUGAAGCUAUGAUACCAUGUCUCCUUUUCUCCUACAUAGCUCUCAGGCAUCAGGCUACAUCAUGUGGCAAGCUAUGCAAAUAAAAAAGCAGUUCUUGCCUAUGAGAUCUGCUUGAUUAGUUUAGCUCUGCUCUGCUCUGCUUUCAUUGUCAUCUGGAUCUGUAAUUUCCAUCAGCUGACUCAAGCAAACAUUACAGUUAUAUUCCCUCUUGUAUACACACCUGAGAACUUGGAGUGAAAAACGUAGAGAGAGCUCAGUUAUUAGCACAGAUUUAGACUAUAUAAAGGCAUUUGUGUUCAGCAGAAUGUGAUGGCUUUCUUCAGCAUUUUAGGUUCAUCACCGUUGCUUUCUAACAUACCUGAUAUAGUCACUUUCAAACGCACAGAGCAGUGAUUCUGCUAGAAAACGUGAUUGUAUGACAAUUACUUAUAAAGAGAUUUGUAUUUUUCACACUUUUGUCCAACUGAGUAUAUUUGUCAUUAUGCUUUUAUUUGUAUUUUCAAUUAGAAAGACUCAUGAAAUAGGAGACAAAAGUUCCUGGUAAAGUAUUACCUCUUGUUCUAUGUGCAACAAUUUUAUCUGAUCUUCUAACUCAUGCUUCAUGAGCAAUAGUGAGUAAAUUAUCAGAUUUCUCUACAGCUCUGUCUGGACCACACUGAUUAUGAUCUCUUCUUGUGAUGAUAACUCUUCCAAAGCAGCUGCAACCCUUCACUGCAAAGCUUACCAUAUACUUUCCAACUACUUGAUACAUCCACUGUCUGACUAAUAAUCCUGGGUGCCUGGCUAUGAAUAUUACAUGUUGGUCAUAAAUCCUUCUUACUAUCUUUUUUUGCUUUAAUGUCACUUGGACAGCAGUAGCUAAAACCUUAGUUUCUUUUUUUACCGUCUCUUUUGUAAUUUGUCUCAUAUUCUACUUAAAAUAUACCACCUGCUUUUAAUUAAUAUUUUAGAAAAAAUAUGUCUGUAUAUUUCUUUUCUGUUUUACCUUCUUUACAAAACCUGUCUGUAUGAAAAGAAUACACCUGAUGUGAUUUAAGAAAUUCCUUCCAUUACCGGUCACUCCCUUACGUACCUCAAAUAUUUUUUAUCAUUAUAUAUUCCUAUUUUGUACAGCUCUUGAUGUCUUCUUGCUAAGCCAAGUAUCCCUUCCAGUGGCCUCUCUUCUAUUAACAAGAUGAAUGCAUAGUAGAAGUCCAGUACAGCUGCUGAUCUGCAAGGCCUGCCCCAUAGGCCAUUAUCAGACAGCAGCAGGCCGUUGCUCCAAGGGGUUAGAACCUGCACACUUUCACUUCUCUCUCAAGUGUUUCUACUGAAGUCCCAGUUCCCUGGGGUUAAAUGCCAAACAAAAAUGCCAGCUUUCCUCUGAUGAAUGUAUCUAACUGUCAUGGGUAUGCAGGAAAAGUCUGAAACACAAGUUGUUAUAAAAGUACACAAGCCAGAAAACAGCUAUAAUGCCUACAUUUUUUGUAACAUCUUGGAGAACUCAGGAUUUUCUAAGGUAACAGACAAUACUAUGUCCUUGGCAGAAAUUUCUGGAGGUCAGUUUGGAGCCAAGUGCAGCAAAUGAUUAUCUGUGGCUGUUCCUUCUACUGGUGCCUGUGGACUUCAAAGAAAAAAAAAAAAUCAAGGCCUGGAUUCCUGAAGAAGUGCUGAGAGGGAGCCUUUCAGAUGGACAUGGAACAAAGUGGAUAUGACACGGCCUGGGAAGAGCAAGACAGAGCUUAUGUUGAUCAAGAAGAGAAGACACUUUGCCUAUUGGUAUCUUCUGUAAGUCUCUUGCACCACCAAAUUUUGAGGGAGCUGGAGCAAGAAAAGCAACAGAAAAUGUAAUUCUGCAGCAUUGCUGUAAAGAAUAAGUUGACACUUCGCUGAACAUGAGACAGCAGUGUGCUCAGGUGGCCAAGAAGGCCACUGGCACCCUGGCUUCUAUCAGAAAUACUGUUGCCAGCAGGAGCAGGGAGGUGAUCAUCCCUUUAUACUCAGCACUGGUGAGGCUGCACCUCAAGUACUGUGUACAGUUUUGGGCCCUUCACUACAAGAAAGAUAUCAAGGCCCUGAAGUGUGUUCAGAGAAGGGCAACAAAACUGUGAGGGGUCUGGAGCACAAAUCUUAUGAGGAUUUGGUGGGGGAAUUGAGAUUGUUCAGUCUAGAGAAGAGGAGGCUCAGGGGAGACCUCAUUGCUCUCUACAACAAAAAGGAGAUUAUGGUGAGGAUCAACCUCUUCUCCCAUGAAACUAGUGAUAGGACUAGAGGGAAUGGCCUCAAGCUGCUCCAGGGAAGGUUCAGGUUGGAAGUUAGGAAAAAUUUCUUCAACGAAAAGUGUGGUCAGACACUGGAAUGGGCUGCGCAGGGAGGUGAUUAAGUCACCAUCUUUGCAGGUGAUCAAGAGACAUUUAGGUGUUGUGCUAAGGCACAUGAUUUAGUGGGGGAGUAUUGGCGAUAGGUUGAUGGUUGGACUGGAUGAUCUUGGAGGUUUUUUCCUACCUUGAUGAUUCUGUGAUUCUAAGAACAAUCAUUGCUAAAACUGGUAGAUCUUUUACCGAGUAACUUCAGAAGCUUGAGUUACAAUUUCAGUUAGUUUAUUUUGGCUAUCAUUUAGCUAAUUAAGGAAUCCAAACAAUGUCAAGUGCUGAUCAAUCACGGAGCUAAACACAAUUCCUGUCCUUCAGAACUUGCUGCUUAACAAACAUACAUAUUCAACAGGUGAGCCAAAAUAAGGUGCAUCUGGAUCCAAAUCAUACCUGGUGUUAUUUAGUUAGUUGUAAUAAAGCCUGUUAUUACUGAGAACAGAGAUGUUGUUUUUGCAGAGCUGCACAAAGGUUGUUGUUGAAAGUCAUUCUGUUUUUGCUCAGGCAUUGCAGCUCAUCUGGAAUUUUGAUUGCUGGAUCUCUGGCUAGUAGAGUAAUGUAUAUAAAAUGCAGUGCUGCAGUGUCAAAUGUUGUGAGGCACAUUAAAGAAUCCAGAAAACUUGGGGCUCAGAAUUUCCUUUGUGUAUGUGUGGUUGAUAAGUAUUCUCUUUUAAUGUACUGUAUUUCUUUAAUUGUAUCUUUGCAUUACUACACAUACGUGACACUGUAGCUGAAUUAAUUUUGAAAUGUUUAAUGUAACAAAUAACUCAAAUACAUGCACUGAUUCAUAACACACAGCCGUCUCCUACAUAUGUAUGAAAAAAAGAAUAUUCAAAAAGCCAAAUAUCCUCAUGUCUGUUCCGUUACUUCUCUUUACUGUAUAAAGUUCUACACAAAUUUAUUCAGAUUAUGACAUUCUAAGGCAUUGGAUUGUGUUUCUUUUAUAGAUAAGCAACACAAAAGUAGUAAUAACAACAAUUAUGGUUAGAAUAUUAGUACAUUUUAGUGAGUUACCCACAUAUCCAAAUAGCAUAUAGUUAAGGAAUUCAUAAUAUUAUCAGCAGAGAAAAGCAUAAUGCCUUCAGUUAUUAGGAAUUUUGUAGUAUGGAAAUGAGUCGUUUUAUCUAAAGGAACUGGCAGAAAUAUACUCGAUUUUUAAAACUAGUCUUACUUUUAAGAGGUUAAGUGUGUGUAUGUCAUUGUUACCUGUGGUAAGAGAGUUUUUAAUGUUUGUAAUGUGUUUGAUUUGGAAAGACUACAGAGGUAAUGCAUGAAUGUUUCUAGAAGAAGUACAAAUGACCUCUAUGUGCAACCUCAACUUUCUUCUUGAGCAAGCUGUGAUGGUAGAUUGAAUGCUUGCUUAACACUAUCAGAAACCUGAAUGAAAUAAUGCUUUAUCACCAGCAGCAGACAUGCAAAGGUUUUUCAGAUGCUAUGCUUGUCUAGUAUAUAAAAAAUAAAAUAAAAGAAAACAUUUUUCUGUAUGCAGCUGAAAGAUUUCCUCUCACUCUUUCACCCUCAACAGUACUCAUCUGUUAGUAAUCAUACUCAGAUUUGUCCUGCUAGGGAGGGUUACCCAUAUGCAACAUGAUAUGGCAAAGACAUGCAAGCUGUCGUCUGCUCCUCCAUUCACUAGACUACAGAGUGCUUCAGUUGUGAUUUCCCAUUUGCCCAUAACUUUGGCCUGAGUAGUGUCUUUAAUCUGAAAAGUCAGAUGAGUUACUGCCGCUAAGCACCAUGAUAACAUGCUGGAAAAUGCUGCAGGAAGGUGUUUCCCUUAUUUAAUUCACUGUUUGUCCAAAUGAUGAAACAAUCAAGUCUUUACAGAGCAACAUUCAACAACAUACCAUUGAGCACACACAGUUUUCAGCAUAAAAUACCACUGGAAGAACCCCACUCUUUCCACAAAAGUAAUCACAAACCUCAAAACAAAAGAAAAUGCUUGUUGACCUUUUUUUUUCUUGACCUCAGAGGAUGUUGAAUUGCACAGCUGAAAUAAACCACAGAUAUGGCUUUGUGUUUGAGAUUGUACUGAAAGUGGGAUUACUCCAGAGCUCUGUUUGUGCACUUGCUACUAAGAUUAGAAAUGGCAGACAAAUAAGUUAUUUUCUAGCAGAGUUUAUUACUGCAUGUGUAAACAGGAAAUGUUUGUGACUUAGUGGCACAACUGUGGUUAAUGUAAAGGUUCAGUGCAUGUAGUAAGAAGGCACAGUUUUGCAACAAAGACAAAGUGGCUUCUUCCGUCAGGGCCUGGAACUUGUAAGAUGAAGAGCUUGUACCACCGACCUUUGUUUAUUGAAGGUUUGGUGUCUCACUGUAUGUUGAAAUGUUCAAAAUUUCUUAUAAGAAGUCCCGCUUCAAAUACUGUGUUAGGAUAUGUUGCAUGAACAGAUAAAUUCUAAAAGCAGUGUAGAUUUUAUUGGGCUUGAGUUCCCACUGACACUGAUUGCAAGUUUAACCGUACGAAGACUUUUUUCACCUGAUAUUAAAAAUAACAAAGCAUUAAUGACCUAUCAUCUUAAAUGACAAAAUGAAAAUUACUAUAAUCGGGCUCUAGAGGUGAAUGCAUACAGAAAUAUAAGAGGAAAAUGUCUGGUGGACUGGGAGAAACUGUAUUUCCAUAGAAUAUCCUUGAAGAUCUUGUGCCUCCUUUCCAUGUCACUAUUCUCAGAGCAAGUGAACUGAAACAGGAGUUGUAAUCCUGACUGUGUUUUUAUUCCUACUGUGAUUUCCUGGGUUUAACCUCCCUGACUAUUUCUUUGCCCUUCU